rnacentral:misc_RNA from 1 species
AAGUCGUAACAAGGUUUCCGUAGGUGAACCUGCGGAAGGAUCAUUAAUACGUUUCUAAACGAACGUUUUAAACUCCAAAAUUUUAAUAGUGGAAAUAUAACUUCCGGAUGCAUAUGUAGGGAGGGGAAGAUUAGACCUUAAAAAGUCUGGUUUUCUCCUUUUUGAAAAGGAAACUUCAUGCACUUUAUUGUGUGUGACACUUCAGAGUAGAGCAGUGAGGUGAAAACUUCGGUUUUGGUUUCUGAAAUACAUCUGUAUCCGGUUAUUCUCUGUUCUACAACCCUUUUAUUAAACAAUAAACCCCAUGUACAACAACUUGAACUAAACAAAUUUUGUUUUCUCUCUGUGAGAAGAUGAAGUAAAAUCUGAACUUAAGAACAACUCUUAACAACGGAUAUCUUGGUUCUC